UUAGGGUCCUUCUUGAGCAGUCCAGCCAGCAGGGACUUGGCCUCUGGCCCAAGCGUGCGUGGGAACCGGAUCUCCUCCAUGAGGAUGAGCUCGAAGAGGCGCUCGUGGUCCUGGUUGUAGAAGGGCAGGCGGCCGCACAUCAUCUCGUACAUGACCACGCCCAGUCCCCACCAGUCCACUGCACGCCCGUAGUCAUUGUCCUCUAGCACCUCAGGCGCCAAGUACUCCGGGGUACCACAGAAGGUUUUCAUGGUGGCCCCAUCACUGAUGCCCUCUUUGCACAA
rnacentral:lncRNA from 1 species